CUCGAUCUGGAAUGCCUCCCCACCAGCCCACCCAGCUCUCCAGCCCAGAGUGCUGGCCACCUUACCUGAGAAGCUCUGCUCAGGAUGAGAUGAGCCUCCUCUCACUCUACCCCCAGCCACUGGCUCAUCUGAACAGCUCAGAGCAAACGCCAGUGUCCUUGGGUAUAGACUAACCCAGGGGGGUCGGGUAAAUCUGCACUGCGUUUCUUUGCAAUGAAUAUCCAAACAGNNNNNNNNNNNNNNNNNNNNNNNNNNNNNNNNNNNCAAGUCGUACUACCAGUUUCUUAGAAGAAUGUAGUCAUCAUUAUUAAAUACCCGGACUGAAGAGGUUGGGGUGGUUCCCACUGCUCCUGUUUAACCCUUGCGUCCAGUGUGGGUGAAUGCAUGGAUUUAAUUGGAUCGGGUGACUAUAUAUCAGAAACAAUUCAGCUGAGCUGUUGUGCUGAUUGGAUGUUUUUAAAAUAACCAACUCUGGUGACCACCCAAGUCACCACCUGACCUUCUUUGGUUUGUCCAAGGAGUGGGUAAGCAUUUAGGGACAAUAUAAGGAGAGUCAGCCUCCUCCUGGGCCUACUCUUUCCUGCUCCCUCCUUCCUUCCCUUCCCUUCUUCCCUGCCUCCUUCCUUCCUUUUUCUUUCUUUUUCUCCUUCCUUCCGCCCUCCCUUCUUUCCCUCCUUUCUUUUCCUUUCUUUCUCUUUCCUUUUCAUCUUCUAUUUUAUUUCUACUUUUCCAUAUUUCUUUUUCUCUUGCUGCCUUUUCUUCAUUUUCAGCUUAGCAAUCAAGAUAGAGCAACCCAGCCAUGGAUACCUGUGUUCAAUAAAUACCUGUGUGGUGAAGAAACGGAUGAAUGGGACACGUGCGUGCGUGCGCGCGCGCGCGCACACACACACACGAGCUGAAAGCAUUUGAAGUCCUUAUCUGCUGAGCUCCCCAGUGAAAUUUCCCUUUUUAACACUUCUGACUCAUUCAAGCCUUUUCCAGAAGGAAGGUAAUUACGUGUUUUUGUUUUAAACAGUUCUGUUUUUGUACUGCUGGUGGACAAGUGAGGAAUAAUCAGUUUUAACUUUUAAGUGAAAUGAGUAAUUAAGCCCAGAAGGUACUGCUGACAAAAUUGGAAUCCUGUCUGUCAUUUAAUAGAGUGCCAUGUUGAAUUUGCUUUGCAUGUUGCUGGGGGAAAUAUGCUAGACAAUACACUCUAAAGUUUUUUUUAAUGAUUGAGAGAAUUAGGAUCAUUUAAAAAGGUUGAAAAACCAGGUGGCCAAUGUCUAGAAAAUUGUUUAAUUAAACCUAAAGCAAACAAGCUAAGGUCAUUGUGAUGUGGUAGUUUUUAAGAAUAGCAAUUUAGAAAUUGGUAUGUUCCUUACAUAGUGUAGAUGCUGUUGUUUACCUUGAAAGAUUUGCUUGUGUGAUUCACUUAUUUGAAAGUUCAGACCUGUUCUGUGUCUACAGCCUCUCUGUGUG
rnacentral:lncRNA from 1 species